CAAAAUUAAAGUUGAAUACUUUUUAUUUCAAAAGACACUUUCGCUUUAGAAACAGAUUCCGCAGAACAAAUACCGAAGAAAGCUAAACCUUUACAAACAACAGAAGAUAAUAUCGCCCUGGAAACAGAAUCUGCAGUUCAUAUACCGGAAGGUGCAGCACGUUUACAACCAACAGAAAACACUGUCGCUUUAGAAGCAGAAUCAGCAGAUAAAUUACCGAAGGAAGCUGACCCCCUACAAACAACAGAAGACAAUGUCGUCCUGGAAACAGGAUCUGCCAUAAAAAUACAUGAACGGACAGAACCUUUACAACCAACAG